UAUUUAUUGAGUGCCUAUUAAGUGCCAC
rnacentral:piRNA from 1 species